rnacentral:lncRNA from 1 species
AAAUUCUAAUCAAAUCAUACACCUUAAUUUUUAAUUAAAUCCUAAAUCAAAUCCUAAGUAAAUUCAAAAUCUUAAACCAAUUCUAAUCAAUUCUUAAUCAAAUCCUAAAUCUUAAACAAAUUCUUAAUAAGUCCUAUAAUGGAUUGAAAAUUCAAUAGCUAAUGCUUAAUUUAUUGAUUUUGAUUCAAAAUUUGCAAACUUUGCAACAACUAAGAUAGCAAUAAGUAUAAAAAAUUUGAAGAAGAUUACAUAUACUAAUUAUAAGAAAUUCUUCCAAAACCUCUUGAUUAUUGGCUGCCCUCCUUCUCUGACUUGAACGUUAAUAUUUCAACAAAAAUUUCUCCUUAUUGAAUCAUUUAAUUGCUCAAAAAAUUGGAUU